rnacentral:snRNA from 1 species
GGAUGUGGGGGUGGCCUGGCUGUGAAAUCCAUAACCCCACUGAAUGCCAGGGUGUAUUUGUCUCAUCUGGCUGGCUGGGCAAGCAUCCCCUUCUUCCCUCGCUGCUCCAUGAGUCCCUCCCAAAGCUGUGCACUCGGUCAAAGAGGACGACUUCCCUGACAGAGAUGUACAUUCACCAGUCAGGAGUACACUGUAGCUGUGCUCCCCUGCUAGAACCUCCAAGCAAGUUCUGUAAUUCUAUGAGAUGAGUCUUUAAUGAAUAGAUGGAAGAGUUGAAAUUCCUCCUGAGAAAACUGACUCCGUGCAGUU